rnacentral:rRNA from 1 species
UACAGAGGGUGCAAGCGUUAAUCGGAAUUACUGGGCGUAAAGCGUGCGCAGGCGGCUUUGCAAGACAGAUGUGAAAUCCCCGGGCUCAACCUGGGAACUGCAUUUGUGACUGCAUGGCUAGAGUACGGUAGAGGGGGAUGGAAUUCCGCGUGUAGCAGUGAAAUGCGUAGAUAUGCGGAGGAACACCGAUGGCGAAGGCAAUCCCCUGGACCUGUACUGACGCUCAUGCACGAAAGCGUGGGGAGCAAACAGG